rnacentral:tRNA from 1 species
GGAAGGGUGGCUCAGUGGUAGAGCGUUCCGGCAGCGACCGUCACUCGGUCGCUCCGGCGUACGGCUUCGCGUGGUUCGACUCCCGCCCCUUCCA